rnacentral:rRNA from 1 species
UGCAAGUCGAGCGGAUGAAGGGAGCUUGCUCCUGGAUUCAGCGGCGGACGGGUGAGUAAUGCCUAGGAAUCUGCCUGGUAGUGGGGGAUAACGUCCGGAAACGGGCGCUAAUACCGCAUACGUCCUGAGGGAGAAAGUGGGGGAUCUUCGGACCUCACGCUAUCAGAUGAGCCUAGGUCGGAUUAGCUAGUUGGUGGGGUAAAGGCCUACCAAGGCGACGAUCCGUAACUGGUCUGAGAGGAUGAUCAGUCACACUGGAACUGAGACACGGUCCAGACUCCUACGGGAGGCAGCAGUGGGGAAUAUUGGACAAUGGGCGAAAGCCUGAUCCAGCCAUGCCGCGUGUGUGAAGAAGGUCUUCGGAUUGUAAAGCACUUUAAGUUGGGAGGAAGGGCAGUAAGUUAAUACCUUGCUGUUUUGACGUUACCAACAGAAUAAGCACCGGCUAACUUCGUGCCAGCAGCCGCGGUAAUACGAAGGGUGCAAGCGUUAAUCGGAAUUACUGGGCGUAAAGCGCGCGUAGGUGGUUCAGCAAGUUGGAUGUGAAAUCCCCGGGCUCAACCUGGGAACUGCAUCCAAAACUACUGAGCUAGAGUACGGUAGAGGGUGGUGGAAUUUCCUGUGUAGCGGUGAAAUGCGUAGAUAUAGGAAGGAACACCAGUGGCGAAGGCGACCACCUGGACUGAUACUGACACUGAGGUGCGA